ensembl:lncRNA
UCAGAAUGUGGAUAUGAGCUCUUCUCCAGCAAUUCCAACUUUGAGCAUUCCUCCCCAUGGCCUGCCUUUUCUAACACAAACAAAGAGGCCUAUUUAUAGACUUCAUGACUCAUUGGUCAUUUGCUGCUCUACAGCACCACCACUGUUCUGUGCCAUCUGGCAAACAUUUCUAACUGCGUCAAGAGUAUAAGAGCUCAACUCAGAGAGGACAUUUGCUGAGAAACCAGAGUUGGGCUACAAGACAUUGUAGGCUACCAAGAGUUGAAAUGGGUCUUCCAGCCUUGGGUCUGAUACCGUUUUUGGGGCCCCUUGCGUUUCCAGUAGCAUUGGGAACAGUCGCAGUAGGGGGCUUUAUAUUGAUUAAGGCGAUUCAUAAGAAACCUUCAUAUCAUCCAGGAAGUCCCAUAAUAACACGUUCCGUGAAGGUAAAGUCAAAUGAAGCUUCUGGAAAUGAACCCACUGGAAAUGCUGCCAGCAAGAAGACAGAAGGACAGCCGAGCAGCAAUGAAACUACCAUCAUAAUUGCUUACGGCCUUGGAGUGGUUGACACUUAUAAAAAUCAUCUGCUGGCAGAGACAAUCGUAGACGGAGAUGCUGCACUUAUGCUGAGGAAGGCUUUUAUCAUGGGUCAUCCUAUAUCUUCCUGGCAGCUCAGAGAAGACGCAGGAUUGGCCGCACCAUAUACCGAUGGUAACAUUGACAUGUCUGAUGAAGGAACAAGGCACUACUACAGAUGUGGCUACAUUGAGCUGGUCGAAGCGUACCACAGGAAGGGGAUAAUCAACAAGAAUCAAGCAAAACAGCUCAUUUCAUGGGUGGAAAAAGAGAUGCACCUGGACCGGGAUACCCAAGAGUAUAAGGAGAUCCUUGAUUACAUUAAACGUCAUGUUCGUGUUUUCCGGUGGUAGAAAUGGCAAACAAACUCAGACAACACAGAGUAAAUACAGAUUGUGUAAUCUAACAUGCUGACCAGACCGGACACGUCGCGCGCGCGUCGCAAAAUACAUUUAGAAAUACAUUUAUGUACGAUAGCGCACGUGCAUAGAUGUUUGGGUCCGUGUAACGGGAGUUCCCAAGUAAAAAACGUUUCUAUGAUAUGCAAAUUAUGGAAUUCAGUAUAGUUGGAUUCUAGUUUGAAAUAUACUAAUUCAUGUUGCCAUUCUAGAACUCAUUGAUUAAUUUGCAUGUAUAAGGAAAGCAUAUGCUGGGGUCAAGGAAGGGUAGAUAGGGAUUUAUGGAAAGUUACAGUGUAGAAAGUUCAUAUUCUGCUCCAUGUUUCUAAGGAGGGAGUCGAAGGGCAAUAGUCUCUGAUAAGGCAGGCCAGCUGAGAAACUAGGGAGGGGCGAGGAAUGCAUCUUGAGGUCAAGUCAACAAAUGAAGUGAUAAGAAAACUCUGGGAGGCAGGCCAGAGAGACCCACCACAAUGACUCUCCUACUUAUGAGGAUUCUGUGUUAUGCACUAUAGCCUGUUACCAUAUAUGUGAUUGAAUAUUAUCUGCUGUUGGCUUGUGUGGAUGUAUGUAGGUGUUAUGCAACAUAGCUGAUUUGAAACAUUGUUAACAGUUUCAGGACCAUGGGCCUUUCUCAUGAUGGAAAAAUACAAAAUAACAUAAAAACGGACACAUACAGAACAUAGUGUAGCAAACCACAGACUGUUUUUGUUACAACUCAAACUUAACAAUAACAGAAACCAGAUAUGUGAUAACGGUAUCUAGGGAAUGAGCGCAUAGAUACUCGACACAGCAAGUUACAUCUAUCAACUGGAGCGCCCGGGGGCUGGUACCAGCUCGUACGACAACAAUCAACGAUAGGCUGGGUGAGUUUAAACCACGCCCAGUCUCUACUCUGACAGGCCGGCUCGGAAGCCGGAACUACUACUGUCACCAGGGUAUAUUAUAAUAUCUUUGUCAGGAACAAGUCAGUUCUCUGUUUUGCCCUGCGAGGUGGGACAGAGAGCUUGUAUAUACGAAAAUUGCAUUUACCAUUUAUUGCUUAGCUACUAAAAAAUACAUAGUAUACAAUCGGCGACUCAUUGUCAUAUUUAUCCUGAUACCAGAUUCGAAUUGACGCAACUCUAACAUACUGCAGUCCUAUUUCACACAUAUACUUCCAUGCAUGAAGGUUUUAGUAUCAGGCAGUGCUAUAACUACACCAGUGAGAGGGACAAUUGCGUUUCUGCCUAGCAACAGCGAUGUAUUGGCUGUCUAGAUGUGUAAGGACAUUAUCCCACAUAUUAGAAGGUAAUAAAUAUAUCUGCUUGUGUAAUCAUGCCUUGUCUUUGCAGCUGUAUGACCCAGUGGGUGAAUAAACUUGGUUUGAGCUUUGUGUAGUCGUCCGUUUGAGUUUUUGCUCCGUUUGUUCAGAAUCUAACAGUAUAAAUAUCAUAAUGAGGAGUAUAAUUUAUUGUUCAUAAUUGUUGCAACGUUUUUUUGGCCUACUGUAUAGUCUGUGCCUGGUUGAUUAUGUUCAGCAGUGUACUAGUAGUAGAUCCAGUCUGCCUGUUGCAUUUGGUAAAUGUACAGCCUAUAGAUUCUCUGCAAAAUGUUUAGAUUUCCUGAUUCUCUGCAGUUAUUGUAACAUUAUGCAGUGUGCACUAGCUCAAUGCCUGGGAAAACCGUCAUUAAAAUAUCAUCUAUUUUGGAAGCAGCAGACAGUGAGUGGACAUUACUUUCU